GGAAAGUAGGGGAUCGCAAGACCUCUCACUAUUGGAGCGGCCGAUGGCUGAUUAGCUAGUUGGUGGGGUAAAGGCCUACCAAGGCGACGAUCAGUAGCUGGUCUGAGAGGACGACCAGCCACACUGGGACUGAGACACGGUCCAGACUCCUACGGGAGGCAGCAGUGGGGAAUUUUGGACAAUGGGGGAAACCCUGAUCCAGCCAUCCCGCGUGAGUGAAGAAGGCCUUCGGGUUGUAAAGCUCUUUCGAAAGUGAAGAAAACUUAUUUCGUAAUAUGUUAUAAGUAUGACGGUAACUUUAAAAGAAGCACCGGCUAACUACGUGCCAGCAGCCGCGGUAAUACGUAGGGUGCGAGCGUUAAUCGGAAUUACUGGGCGUAAAGCGUGCGCAGGCGGUUUUGUAAGUCAGAUGUGAAAUCCCCGAGCUUAACUUGGGAACUGCGUUUGAAACUACAAAGCUAGA
rnacentral:rRNA from 1 species